AACUCAUACAACAAAAAUCAAAUUUCAUUAAAAUAUCUAUUGUAAGUUUUUAACAAACAUUACAAAUCAAAUUGAAAUAAAACUAAAGUUAUACAAACACAUAAAGUAUAUAAUAACUUUAAUGUUAGACAAUCUAGAGUAGUUCCUCAAUGAAUAAAUAUACAAAAAUCCAAAGUACUUGCUUGGUGAUUCACUAAUUUGUGUUGCCGUCACUUGAUGAUACUCUUACACCCACGGGUGAAGCAGACUCGCUCUUCACAUCACUAUGCUGAAAUAAUUAAACAAAAACAUUCGAUGAAUAAGUUAUAAACGAGUAGCAUAGUCUAACAAUAGCAUUAUACACAAGUUGUUGGACAAAUCAAGUUACAUAAAUAAACAAAAACUCCAAAUCUUCUAACAAAUAAAUCGGUCACUUGGUUUAACAAGUAAAAACAGCAUUAAACAGAAGUUGCUAGAUACUCUCACAUGAACAAGAACUAAAGUACAAAGUUGUUUCCUCGUAUAUUAUCACAAAACUUACAAAUUAUUCUACUCGGCGGCAUAAAUUCUAGCUAUAUAUUCAUGAAAAAGACCACAUAUGUAACUAUUAAAGUAUAAGUCAACCUCGACAGGUCUUCUAACAUUAGAAUUAAGAAAAUAAAGUAUAAGCUUCAAUCCAGCCCCAUGAUUAAUAGAAGUUAAACUUGUACCAAAGUUGACCGCUAACAACACUGGAACACUGAAGUAAAAGAAAUAAACUGAUAAAAUAGGAGGGGGAAUAAUAAUUAGUUAAACAAACAAACGAGUUUCAAAAUCUUAUGGAGCUAACUUCAAGCAAAAGAAGCAAAAAAAGUGCCAAAACUUUAACAAAAAAUGUAGAAUUUAUAUACUACCAGCUUACUUGAACAUCUUGUUUCUUGAGGGACUUAAUCAAUCUUCUAAGGCAUGAAUUCUACUAGAAUCUGUAUUAGCAAUAACUGCAAAAGAAUAUGAAACAAAGUGCUCUUACUUACUUAACAUAACCUUGGGAAAAGAAGUGCAAGGAUUGAAAAUGUAGGAGGUAACUUACUUGACAUCUCAACAAUUGAAUUCCAAAACUUUUGUUUGAUUAGUUUCUUUAAGUUGUUCUUCUUCAUCGGUUAACCAUCUCAAUAUCCAUUAAAACUUUAGGAAAAUAAAAUUAAACCCGGACAAAGUUAACCAUCCUGUAGCCACAUAUAUAGCAAGAUGUCAAUGAGCCAAUUGCGUUAAUUGUUCACAAGGCUACCAUUUCUUUGUAACUUCAACUGGUGUUCAAUGCUGCAAAUGUUUUUCCAAUAAUUGUAGCUUCCUAUAAUGCAAGAAGUUUGUUAUAUAAAAAGUAAACUUUCUACGAAACGAAUACUUGGUCAAAAGACAAGUUACGAAGCAUAACUUACCCAUCAAUACUAUCAUAUCAGUAAACAAUCCUGAAACUUUUGCAUACAUAUUCACCAGCGAAAUAUAUUCCUUCACCAUGCAUCUUUGCACCGAACAGAUCAUGCAUUAUAAAAAGGGAAAUGGGAAGGAGUAUGAUAGAAGUAUUUCUUAAACUAUAGUAACAAAAAUCACAGAUUCAAAUACAUAUAUCAUAACAAAUGAAAUAUAUAUACAACUAGCUUACUUCAACAUCUCAUAUAUAUCUUGAGGAACUUAAUCAAAUCUUCUAAGACAUGAAUCCUGCCAGUAUCUAUAUCAAUAACAGUUGUAAGAGAAUAUGAAACAAAUUACUCUAUAGUACUUAAUGCAACUGAUAUUCAAUGGAGCAAAUGGUCUUGAAUUAUUGUAACUUCAUGUAAUUCAAGAAGCAUGUUAUAUAAAAGAUAAGUUUUCUCUUAAAAGAGUGUCUUGCCAAUAAAUGAGUUAAGAAAACUCACCCAUCGGUGCUAUCAUACCAACCCACCAAUCUCAAAACCUUUGCAUUGGUAUUAGAGCAUUUAAUCUUCGAUGGAUGUGCAUCACCUUGUCAUUACAACUAAAUAGAAUGUAAAGCACAAAGAAAAAAUGACUGAUAAAAUAAGAAUCAUGAUAAAUUUAGUUUAUCAAAAACUCAUAAUCUGAACACCAUAUCUUUUAGUAUAGAAAAUAAACACGAGUGCCGAAAGAUUAAGAAAACUCAACGGAACAAUUGCAGGCACCCAAAGGUAUUUCUAUUCUUCUUUCGCUGCUCAAUAAUAAUCUCACCCCCCCCCACCCCCCCCCCCAAUUUCCACACAUCCUAAGAAAAGUUAUGGGCAAUCAGUUUGUGAUGGUAUCUAAGAUGAACUCACAUGAUUUCCUGUUAUUAAAAUCUAACUAUCUGAAGCAAAAUUGAAGAGCAAAACACAUAGUAAAAAAAUCUAGGCUUUUAAAAGUACACACUCAAUUGUAAUCACGAACUCGAGAACAAUGGACCACACAAUAAUGAAUCACAAUUUAACCCAAAACCUGUAAUAAUAUACAGAUCCACAAGAAUAUUUAAACAAUUUCGGUUACAAAUUCUACAUCGAAAAAUAAACAAAAAAUACCGUAACAGAAAAUAAGAAAGAGCAUGACAAUUCUUUAUUUUUUGAAUUGCACCGACUUACUAUGUAGAGAAGAUGAUGAAGAAGGGGAAUUGAGCCUCCUGAAAGAUUUCGUGAGUUGGGGAGGGGGAGUUGAGCCCUUCUGAAACAUAUCGUGCCCUGUGAAAAAAUGAGGGAGAAAAAGAGAAGGAAUUUUGCCCGCUUAGUUCUGAAAUUUUUGAGGAUGAUGUCCA
rnacentral:lncRNA from 1 species